CCUACGGGGGGCUGCAGUGGGGAAUAUUGGACAAUGGGCGAAAGCCUGAUCCAGCCAUGCCGCGUGUGUGAAGAAGGCCUUCGGGUUGUAAAGCACUUUCAGUGGGGAAGAAAGCCUUGGGGCUAAUACCCUCGAGGAAGGACAUCACCCACAGAAGAAGCACCGGCUAACUCCGUGCCAGCAGCCGCGGUAAUACGGAGGGUGCGAGCGUUAAUCGGAAUUACUGGGCGUAAAGCGCGCGUAGGCGGUCUGAUAAGCCGGUUGUGAAAGCCCCGGGCUCAACCUGGGAACGGCAUCCGGAACUGUCAGGCUAGAGUGCAGGAGAGGAAGGGAGAAUUCCCGGUGUAGCGGUGAAAUGCGUAGAGAUCGGGAGGAAUACCAGUGGCGAAGGCGGCCUUCUGGACUGACACUGACGCUGAGGUGCGAAAGCGUGGGUAGCAAACAGGAUUAGAUACCCCGGUAGUC
rnacentral:rRNA from 1 species